rnacentral:rRNA from 1 species
AUAGGGGAGCCGUAGGGAAACCGAGUCUUAACCGGGCGUUAAGUUGCAGGGUAUAGACCCGAAACCCGGUGAUCUAGCCAUGGGCAGGUUGAAGGUUGGGUAACACUAACUGGAGGACCGAACCGACUAAUGUUGAAAAAUUAGCGGAUGACCUGUGGCUGGGGGUGAAAGGCCAAUCAAACCGGGAGAUAGCUGGUUCUCCCCGAAAGCUAUUUAGGUAGCGCCUCGUGAAUUCAUCUCCGGGGGUAGAGCACUGUUUCGGCUAGGGGGCCAUCCCGGCUUACCAACCCGAUGCAAACUGCGAAUACCGGAGAAUGUUAUCACGGGAGACACACGGCGGGUGCUAACGUCCGUCGUGAAGAGGGAAACAACCCAGACCGCCAGCUAAGGUCCCAAAGUCAUGGUUAAGUGGGAAACGAUGUGGGAAGGCCCAGACAGCCAGGAUGUUGGCUUAGAAGCAGCCAUCAUUUAAAGAAAGCGUAAUAGCUCACUGGUCGAGUCGGCCUGCGCGGAAGAUGUAACGGGGCUAAACCAUGCACCGAAGCUGCGGCAGCGACACUCAGGUGUUGUUGGGUAGGGGAGCGUUCUGUAAGCCUGUGAAGGUGUGUCGUGAGGCAUGCUGGAGGUAUCAGAAGUGCGAAUGCUGACAUAAGUAACGAUAAAGCGGGUGAAAAGCCCGCUCGCCGGAAGACCAAGGGUUCCUGUCCAACGUUAAUCGGGGCAGGGUGAGUCGACCCCUAAGGCGAGGCCGAAAGGCGUAGUCGAUGGGAAACGGGUUAAUAUUCCCGUACUUGGUGUUACUGCGAAGGGGGGACGGAGAAGGCUAUGUUGGCCGGGCGACGGUUGUCCCGGUUUAAGCGUGUAGGUGUGUGUUCCAGGUAAAUCCGGUU